GAGUAAGUCAUUGCCUGAAAAGCGAAGUUUUUGAUUCUAUGAUUUCGUCCCAUUAUCUUCUCCUUCGAUGAUCUCAGAUACUAGCUAUGGAGUUUUGAGAUUUUCAAUCCACGUGAUGAUUUGCUUUGUAGAUCUUCAAUUCGAUGUUUUGCCCUCUCUUCUAUCAACGGAAACGUUAACUGUAAUUGAUUUUUACUCCCUGCUCUAUCACUCGGAAUGUGCAUAUAUACAUCGCAGGGUUUUGCGCUUAGCUUUCGUCUCCGCCAUACCAUGUCGAGACAGAACCAGAGUUUCCUUAUCGCGGAUCUUUCACCUUCUUCCUUCCCGUAUGGCGGCCAUUGGAACUAGGGUUCAUCCUGUUCUUCGUUCUGUUGCUAACCAAAGCGACAAUGGUGUAUUCAACAAUAUAUUUGCGAGACGAUUCCCUGGAUUGGGCUUUCUUCAUGUCGUUUCGUCUUCGUUUUUCUCUCUGGAACCGUUACAGGACCAACUUAUUCACAGCCGUUCUUAAAUUCGACCCACGCUGCAACCACGAUUUCUCAUUCAUUGUAUCUUUCUCACUUCAAGGCGGUGCAUCUCCCAACUAUAAAAAGGUUUCAGUGAUCAACAUUUUUUUACAGAGCAAAACAGAGUCCAUGAACGGAAAUUUAAGAGGAGGAUCAGAAACUGAGUCUUCAUCAAGCCUUCAGUCUAAUAGCUUACGAAGACCAGGUUCUGCACCCGAAGGAUCGGACAAACAAUAAUCAAGAUGCACAUAAAGAGGUGAUGAGAGCUUCAGAGACGCUAGACAAUCUGCUUCCUAACAUUAUCUUCAAGUGAUAUUGAUGAAAAGCUCAAGCAUCUAUUCUGUGGCAUAUCCACUCCCAAACGACUUAUUUGACAUGGAGAAGGAGCUGCAGAAGAUUGGUUUUAAGCCGGGACAAAGGAUAACCUUUAGUGGACAAUUCUUAACUAUCAGAACACAGUGGCACAAGUGGUGGAACUUCUUGGAGAUGAGGAUACUGCAGCUGAUUUACGAUACGAUGUUGGUCUGGGAAGCAAUAUUUAUCUUAAUAUUAUUCUGUGCCUCAACUUGACACCACUAGAAGACAGUACAUUCCCGAACAAUAAGUUGUUGAUAUUAUCAAUGGUUAUACAGCGACGAGCUCCAUGACUUUUGGAGAAGCGAAUUCGAGGUUUAGAGAUAUGAGUCUGGCUUAGGAUGUGAGCAAGCGCCAGUAACAGACUUGGUUGCAUUGAAACUAACAAGAAAGUGAAAAGAUACUGGCUUGGUCUCAACGAGUUUGCAGAUUUGAGCCACGAAGAAUUCAAGAACAAGUAUUUGGGCUCAAGACUGGUAUAGAAAGAGGCGAUGAUGAAAGAUCCUAACAAGAGUUCACUUAUAAGGACGUUGACGUAGAAGCUUUGCCUAAAUCUGUUGACUGGAGAAAGAAAGGAGCUGUGCGCUAUGUCAAGAACCGAAACUCUUGCGUUACUGCAGUGGAAGGUAUAAACAAGAUUGUGACAGGAAACUUGGAAACAUUCUCUGAACAUGAACUCAUAGACGGUCAGUCUGUGACACAACUUACAACAAUGGUUGCAAUGGUGGUCUCAUGGAUUAUGCUUUUGAGUAGAUCUCAAGAACAGAGGUGUUCACAAGGAAGAGGAUUAUCCUUACUCCAUGGAAGAAGGAACUUGCUAGAGGCGAAAGGUUUUUAUGUUACUGCGAAAAAGGGAUUAAUUGGUCAUACUAAUUCUCUUUGUUUUUAAACAGGAUGAUCCUGAAAUGGUGACCAUCAGUGGGCACCAAGAUGUACCAAGAAAUGAUGAUAAUUCUCUUGAAAGCAUUGGCUCAUCAACCUCUCAGUGUCACUAGGGAGUUCCAGUUCAUAGUGGUGUGUUUUUUGAUGGGGGAUGCGGGGUGAACACGAACCAAGGUGUUGCUGUAGUUGGGUAUGAAUCAAGCAAGGUUCAGAUCAUUGUGAAUUUUUUUUUACCAACAUGGGGAGAGAAAGGUUGCAUCAAGAUGAAGAGGAACACUUAUAAACCAGAGGGUCUCUCUGUGAAAUCAAUAAGAUGGCUUCUUUCCCCACUAAAAUAAAGUGAUAAUAUCAUUUUAUCUUAUCUGCAUUUGAUCACUAUCUUCAUAACAACAUGAAAUUGUUAUUUUAAGGAAUAGAAACUAGAUUUUGACCCGCCCUUAGAAGGGCGGGUAUAUUUUUGUUUUUACAUUUUUUUUUAUAAAUUUAAUUUUUAUAUUUAUGUUUUUA